AACGAACGCUGGCGGCAGGCUUAACACAUGCAAGUCGAACGGUUGUAGCAAUACAGCAGUGGCGCACGGGUGAGUAACGCGUGGGAACGUGCCCUUCAGUACGGAACAACACCGGGAAACUGGUGCUAAUACCGUAUAUUCCCUCCGGGGGAAAGAUUUAUCGCUGAAGGAUCGGCCCGCGUUAGAUUAGCUAGUUGGUGGGGUAAUGGCCUACCAAGGCUCCGAUCUAUAGCUGGUCUGAGAGGAUGACCAGCCACACUGGAACUGAGACACGGUCCAGACUCCUACGGGAGGCAGCAGUGGGGAAUAUUGGACAAUGGGGGAAACCCUGAUCCAGCCAUGCCGCGUGAGUGAUGAAGGCCUUAGGGUUGUAAAGCUCUUUUGUCAGGGAAGAUGAUGACGGUACCUGAAGAAUAAGUACCGGCUAACUUCGUGCCAGCAGCCGCAGUAAUAC
rnacentral:rRNA from 1 species